AUGUCGGAGAAGAACAAGAAGAAGGGUGUGCGCAUGGCGCAGCAGGAGCUGGAGGACCUCUACCUCGGCGUCCCCGACGGCUCCGUCGACCUCACCUUCCGAGACUUCGUCGUCGCCCCGCCACCACCGCCCACCGCCUCCGUGUCGCCUGCUCCCACCUGCUUGGCCCCCAUCCACGAGCAACCUAAUGAGGACGACCCUGCAGCUGCAGCCGAGACCGAGCGCAGCAACAAGGCGCUCCUCUCCAGGACCUCCACCAACAUCUUCACCUACAAGGUCCAGUCAUCCGCCUCUUCCGACGACGACGACGACACCACCCAGCGCCACCAGGACACGACAACACCGCCGGGCUUCCAGCUCUCCCCUUCCCCGUCCCCUCCUCCGCCCGCCCGCUCCUCCCGCGCCACCAGAAGCAGCCACGCCGGCAGAAGCGGCCGGCCCAUGCGCCGGGCGGGCAUCCCGCACUCCAACCUCUGCGCGGCGUGCAGCCGCUACAUGCAUGUCUUCCGCCACCGCUGCCUCGUCUGCGGCCGCGCAUACUGCCGCCGCUGCGUGGGCGCCGGCAUGGGAGACAUGACCGAGGGACGCAAGUGCCUCGACUGCCUCGGCCGCAAGUACAGCCACCGCUACAUCCACCGCGCCGGCCGGGGCGCCACCGCCGCCGCGGGCCUCCUCUGCCUCUGCUGCUGCGCGCUCCACGCCUGGGGCUCUUCCUCCUCCGUCAGGGCCGAGGAGCUGCUCUGGGCCGAGAAGGGCCCCGCGCCGCGCCGCCGGCCCUCCACGUCUUCCUCCACCACAUCCAUCUCCGCGUCCUACAGCACGGCGGCCGGUGGUGGGGGUGGCUACUCGGCGUCCAUGAGCAUGACCAUGAUGAGCAUCAACAGCGGCGCCAGCAACAGCAACGGCCACGGCCACAGGAACAGCAACGUCGUCGUCGUCGCACCGCCGCCUGCAUCCUUCUCCCGCAGCAGCGCCAACCCGCACGCUUUCCCUCUCUAG
rnacentral:rRNA from 1 species